rnacentral:rRNA from 1 species
UACGAAGGGGGCUAGCGUUGCUCGGAAUCACUGGGCGUAAAGCGCACGUAGGCGGGUCGUUAAGUCAGGGGUGAAAUCCCGGAGCUCAACUCCGGAACUGCCUUUGAUACUGGCGAUCUUGAGUUCGAGAGAGGUGAGUGGAACUGCGAGUGUAGAGGUGAAAUUCGUAGAUAUUCGCAAGAACACCAGUGGCGAAGGCGGCUCACUGGCUCGAUACUGACGCUGAUACGCGAAAAGCGUGGGGAGCAAACAGG